GUGGGGAAUCUUGCGCAAUGGGCGAAAGCCUGACGCAGCCAUGCCGCGUGAAUGAUGAAGGUCUUAGGAUUGUAAAAUUCUUUCACCGGGGACGAUAAUGACGGUACCCGGAGAAGAAGCUCCGGCUAACUUCGUGCCAGCAGCCGCGGUAAUACGAAGGGGGCUAGCGUUGCUCGGAAUUACUGGGCGUAAAGGGCGCGUAGGCGGACAGCUUAGUCAGAGGUGAAGGCCCAGGGCUCAACCUUGGAAUUGCCUUUGAUACUGGCUGUCUUGAGUUUGGGAGAGGUGAGUGGAACUCCGGGUGUAGAGGUGAAAUUCGUAGAUAUUCGGAAGAACACCAGUGGCGAAGGCGACUCACUGGCCCAAUACUGACGCUGAGGCGCGAAAGCGUGGGGAGCAAACAGGAUUAGAAACCCGAGUAGUCC
rnacentral:rRNA from 1 species